rnacentral:rRNA from 1 species
GAGUUUGAUCAUGGCUCAGAUUGAACGCUGGCGGCAUGCCUUACACAUGCAAGUCGAACGGCAGCACGGGGGCAACCCUGGUGGCGAGUGGCGAACGGGUGAGUAAUACAUCGGAACGUGUCCUGUAGUGGGGGAUAGCCCGGCGAAAGCCGGAUUAAUACCGCAUACGAUCUGUGGAUGAAAGCGGGGGCUCCUUCGGGACCUCGCGCUACAGGGGCGGCCGAUGGCAGAUUAGCUAGUUGGUGGGGUAAAGGCCUACCAAGGCGACGAUCUGUAGCUGGUCUGAGAGGACGACCAGCCACACUGGGACUGAGACACGGCCCAGACUCCUACGGGAGGCAGCAGUGGGGAAUUUUGGACAAUGGGCGAAAGCCUGAUCCAGCAAUGCCGCGUGUGUGAAGAAGGCCUUCGGGUUGUAAAGCACUUUUGUCCGGAAAGAAAACCUCGUGGUUAAUACCCGUGGGGGAUGACGGUACCGGAAGAAUAAGCACCGGCUAACUACGUGCCAGCAGCCGCGGUAAUACG